AUAAAUGAAUUUGCAUAAGUAACGUAAUUCUUUUAACCCAAACCACAAGUCAUGUACGUAACGUAAUGUGUGUAGUUUAGAGUAACAAACGUAAAGUUAGUAAACUUCGUAAUUGACUCCUCAUAAGUAACGUAGUUAUUUUAAGCAAAACCACACGUUUUGUAGCAUAAAGUAAAAAAGAACAUAAUGUUGGUAACAUUUGUAACUUAAUUUACGUGACGUUAUUUUAACCAAAACCACAAGUUCACUCGUUUGCAACACAACAUAGCUUAAUGACGGUUAAAAGAGCAAAUAUAAUGUUAUAUUGGUACCUUCGUAACUACAUUUGUGUAACAAAAUUAUUUUUCACAGUUGAAUUUGAAGAAAUAUUUUAGUGAUUACUACAACAAUUACGUGCUUUUUGUGAUUCUCUGUUGAUUUUUUUGCAUGUAAAGCAAUUUGUGACCCCUUUUUAAAGUAUUUACUGUAGAGAAUGCCAACUGUGGGCCGGACCCGAUCAGCCAGAGUUGGAGGUCAGUGGAGUAAAUCCCUGCAGCCUGGGUUUCAAACAUCUGGAGCGGAGGAAGUUCUGGGAACAGAUAACUGCUCACAGUUUGGGUUAUGAGACGCGAUGAGAUUAAAAAUGGGUGUAUGAUCCUGUGUCCUGCUUGAGGAUGUUAUCUGGAUAAAUCUGACUGCUUUUUGUUGUAUAUUGUUGCGUUGGAGAGUCUACGCACCACCACCCAGUGUGACGUACACUGUAUAUGUGUGUGUGUGUGUGUUCAGCACAGAUGGAGCUCCUGAUAGAGGCCUGUGCAGUCGACCAUUGCGGGACACAUUAUGGCAAUUUCCAGCUUGAGGAGCCAGCGAGCGUCAGAGUUGGCAGCGCCGCCGGAUGAGCCCGAGCGUGACUCCCGACUCCUGCACCUCUGGGACGCCGCCCAACCCGAGGAAGUGUGCAGAGGACGGCGGUGUUCAUCCAGCACAGCUCUCCAGUGUGUGUCGGAGGGGUCAGUUCCCGCUGCGCCACAUGUGACCAUCAACCUCC
rnacentral:lncRNA from 1 species